CGUAACAAGGUCUCCGUUGGUGAACCAGCGGAGGGAUCAUUACAGAGUUGCAAAACUCCAACAAACCAUCGCGAAUCUUACCCGUACGGUUGCCUCGGCGCUGGCGGUCCGGAAGGCCCUCGGGCCCCCCGGAUCCUCGGGUCUCCCGCUCGCGGGAGGCUGCCCGCCGGAGUGCCGAAACCAAACUCUUGAUAUUUUAUGUCUCUCUGAGUAAACUUUUAAAUAAGUCAAAACUUUCAACAACGGAUCUCUUGGUUCUGGCAUCGAUGAAGAACGCAGCGAAAUGCGAUAAGUAAUGUGAAUUGCAGAAUUCAGUGAAUCAUCGAAUCUUUGAACGCACAUUGCGCUCGCCAGUAUUCUGGCGAGCAUGCCUGUUCGAGCGUCAUUUCAACCAUCAAGCUCUGCUUGCGUUGGGGAUCCGCGUCUGACGCGGUCCCUCAAAAACAGUGGCGGGCUCGCUAGUCACACCGAGCGUAGUAACUCUACAUCGCUAUGGUCGUGCGGCGGGUUCUUGCCGUAAAACCCCCAAUUUCUAAGGUUGACCUCGGAUCAGGUAG
rnacentral:rRNA from 1 species